GCUGAGCGGCGCUGAAGUGUUUCCCGCGGCCCGCCCUCGGCUCCGGGGUAAUGCUGAGGGGCGAGGUGAUGGCGUUCUGCUCGGCCUGGCGUCGUCCUCCGGCCCCCUGUAGGGGCCGAGCUGUCCCCUUGCCCACAGCCCUUUCUUUCCCUCGAGGUUGGUGUGGUAACGUGCUGUCCCUGCCUGAGCCGCCGGGAUUAGCCACCCAUUCUGUAAGCGCGGCCGUAAAGUGUCGCCUAUUUUUAGACCGAAAAACGAAGACGUCCUUUGCGCAACACUCGUCGUGCUGAUGCACGAGGAGAUAGGAGCAGCUGUGAAAACAGGAAUUGAGCAAUGUUUAGGAAGACACAAACUGGUUUUUGGACUAUGGAGUUCAGGGGGUUCGGUCCCCGCGCUGUGAGGAUGAACUCCCUUGCAGAGAGCAUCGCUUCCACCGCUGCUCCCAAAACAUAUGAAACAAGUAUUUGCUCUUUAUAUAUAAAGUACUGGAGCCCAUCACUACAGAGAACAAACAAACAAGCAAGGUUUGUAUGGAAAUAUACUUCGUGUUUUCUUGUUUGGUAUUGCUUAAAUUAG
rnacentral:lncRNA from 1 species